UGUAACAGCAACUCCAUUUGGAU
rnacentral:miRNA from 1 species